rnacentral:misc_RNA from 1 species
CCUUCCAUUUGGAUUAUGCUUCAAAUUUUGUGGGUAGAGGUCACAGGAUCCCAGUUCCUUGACAGCCAAAGGCAGUCUUUCUCCAUCAGCAACCUCGUAAUCUGCCCCUACACUCUUGAUGUUAACAGUCUGAACUUCAUUGUGCUUAGCCCAAAUAACUUUUCCACUGUUAUCCAUACUGGCAACAGGUACUUCUCGGCCAAGUUUCACCAUGAUGGUUCCCUCAUCAUAACCAAUAACAACCCUCCUUGAACUUCUCAUGUAACCAAUUGCCCAUACCACUUAUAGACUUGAGAACACUUUGAAUUAUGGUCUUGAAAGAGUAUGGGCAAUUG